GAUGAACGCUAGCUACAGGCUUAACACAUGCAAGUCGAGGGGCAGCAUUUUUAGUUUGCUUUGCAAACUGAAGAUGGCGACCGGCGCACGGGUGAGUAACACGUAUCCAACCUACCGAUAACUCCGGAAUAGCCUUUCGAAAGAAAGAUUAAUACCGGAUAGCAUACGAAUAUCGCAUGAUAUUUUUAUUAAAGAAUUUCGGUUAUCGAUGGGGAUGCGUUCCAUUAGUUUGUUGGCGGGGUAACGGCCCAUCAAGACUACGAUGGAUAGGGGUUCUGAGAGGAAGGUCCCCCACAUUGGAACUGAGACACGGUCCAAACUCCUACGGGAGGCAGCAGUGAGGAAUAUUGGUCAAUGGGCGAGAGCCUGAACCAGCCAAGUAGCGUGAAGGAUGAAGGCUCUAUGGGUCGUAAACUUCUUUUAUAUGGGAAUAAAGUUUUCCACGUGUGGAAUUUUGUAUGUACCAUAUGAAUAAGGAUCGGCUAACUCCGUGCCAGCAGCCGCGGUAAUACGGAGGAUCCGAGCGUUAUCCGGAUUUAUUGGGUUUAAAGGGAGCGUAGGUGGAUUGUUAAGUCAGUUGUGAAAGUUUGCGGCUCAACCGUAAAAUUGCAGUUGAAACUGGCAGUCUUGAGUACAGUAGAGGUGGGCGGAAUUCGUGGUGUAGCGGUGAAAUGCUUAGAUAUCACGAAGAACUCCGAUUGCGAAGGCAGCUCACUAGACUGUCACUGACACUGAUGCUCGAAAGUGUGGGUAUCAAACAGGAUUAGAUACCCUGGUAGUCCACACAGUAAACGAUGAAUACUCGCUGUUUGCGAUAUACAGUAAGCGGCCAAGCGAAAGCAUUAAGUAUUCCACCUGGGGAGUACGCCGGCAACGGUGAAACUCAAAGGAAUUGACGGGGGCCCGCACAAGCGGAGGAACAUGUGGUUUAAUUCGAUGAUACGCGAGGAACCUUACCCGGGCUUAAAUUGCAACAGAAUAUAUUGGAAACAGUAUAGCCGUAAGGCUGUUGUGAAGGUGCUGCAUGGUUGUCGUCAGCUCGUGCCGUGAGGUGUCGGCUUAAGUGCCAUAACGAGCGCAACCCUUAUCUUUAGUUACUAACAGGUCAUGCUGAGGACUCUAGAGAGACUGCCGUCGUAAGAUGUGAGGAAGGUGGGGAUGACGUCAAAUCAGCACGGCCCUUACGUCCGGGGCUACACACGUGUUACAAUGGGGGGUACAGAAGGCGGCUACCUGGUGACAGGAUGCUAAUCCCAAAAACCUCUCUCAGUUCGGAUCGAAGUCUGCAACCCGACUUCGUGAAGCUGGAUUCGCUAGUAAUCGCGCAUCAGCCAUGGCGCGGUGAAUACGUUCCCGGGCCU
rnacentral:rRNA from 1 species